UUCUUCCAGAUCUGUCAGCCAGCCCUGCUCCACUGUGACCAUGUGUGACCGAAAGGCAGUGAUCAAAAAUGCUGAUAUGUAGGAGGAGGUGCAACAGGACUCCGUGGAAUGUGCUACUCAAGCACUGAAGUACAACACAGAGAGGGCAUUGUGGCCCAUGUUAGGAAGGAAUCUGACCAGAAGUACAACCCCACCUGGCACUGCAUUGUGGGAAGGCACUUGGGUAGUUACGUGACACAAACACUUCAUCUACUUCUGUCUGGGCCAGUGGCCAUUCUUCUGUGUAUAUCUGAUUAAAAGCAUGGAUAGUACCCACACACCCAGUGACCCACCCAAAAACAAGAUUGCAGCCUGAAUUCUAAAUUCCAGAGACUGAAAUCUUUAGCCUUGCCUAAAGGAACACCUUGAUCUUGAAUCUUUUAUUGUGUUAUUGUUUGUACAGGGCAUUUUCUGUACUCAUUUGUUGUGGUUAUAAAACAAUUAGUAAAAAAAAAAGAUAGGAGGAAAUUUUUGUGAUCUUGAGUUAAGCAAAGAUUUCUUAGUUAAAACAUGAUUCACAAGAGAAAAA